GCCCGUCAAAUUAAGUGCCAGCUGACGCGGUUAAACUUAAGGGCUGGUCUUUAUAAGUAAAAAGGCGUAGAGGAUGUGUAGGCCAAGAAAUUAUCUAAGAAGGUAAAUGGAAUUUUUCUGGAGCGGUAAAAUGUGAAGAUAGAAAAUAGAACACCUAAGGUUAAAACUAUUUACCACAAAAUAGGCUGAAACAUGAGAGAGUGGGGAGCAAACAGGAUUAGAGACCCUGGUAGUCCACUCUGUAAACUUUGAAGAUUAUGUUUAGCAGGCCCGAAAGGUAAAAUCUUCCGCCUGAGUAGUACGAUCGCAAGAUUAAAAUUCAAAAACUUUGGCUGUUCACUACUUCGAUUAGAGGAGCGUGUAGUUUAAUUCGAUGGUCCGCGCGUUACCUUACCCCAGCUUGAAUCUAUGACCGGUAUUGCAUGGCCGUCGUAAGUCCCUGUGUUAAACUAAAAGGGACCCAAUCCAGGCGUUUGCCUGAAGGAAGUCAGGUCUUAUGAUCCG
rnacentral:rRNA from 1 species